CUACAGGUCAAAGGCUCGCACACAUUCCCAGAGGCGCGAGGAGGCGUCCAAGAUCCUCAGUAGAGAAGAUGAUUCACUGGGCGGUAAAUAGGUGGCUCCUUCCUCACGUUUGGCCCUCGCAGUAGAACACACUGCUACGCUCAGCAUUUCUCCACCAGCUCCAGACCAAAGGGAAUGUCCAGCUAUCCAGAGUCAAUGGGGAGGAAAAAACUGUUCAGUGAAUGGUGGCUGGGAUCUGGAUUCGGCAUCUGAGGGAAUGCUGUGCAGCUCACAACAGGAAGAGGGUGCCGCUGUCCUUUAAAGCAAUGGAAUUUAAAUUUGAGCAAUAAUUCAUGCUAAUCCCAGUCGUCUCCUUUAUGUUGUGCUGUAGUGUAGCUCAAGUACUGUAUGCCAUACUUCUACUUCACAACAUUUCAGAGAGAAAUGGAGUAUUUAUUUUAUUUUGCCUUGCCCCAUCUCUGAGGCUGCUUGUAUCCGUUUCUUUAUUGUUCGCUAUAAAAACUGAACAAUAUAAUGAUUAUCUAAAAAUUUGAAAGGAGCCAUUCUGCCUUCUACUUUUUAUGCUCAACGUGUAUUUAGCUGACAGUAGUUGUGUGCCUUUCUACUAAGGACACUUUCAGGACAUCUACACAUGUUAUUACCCCAACAGUCUAUUAACACUAAUCUUUUUGCAUUAUGACAACUGUCUCACAUGGAUUGUCGUGUUCCUCUUCACAGACAGUACUGUUGUAAAGCUGCCUGUAUUUUGAAUGCACUGGGAUCGCACUGGGAGUGUAAUUUAAAAGAAUAUGACACUGUAUCUCGGUUUCCAGACGCCAGGAAGAGGCGCAACACUAUCAGCGGCAUAAAAAGCCACAUUUGAGCCACAUUUGUACUAACGGCUUCUCAACCCUGUGACCACCGAUGCUGCGUUUUACUGCUUGUGGUUUGUGUGCGGAUAUCCUCUGCCGUGUUCCUUUCAUGCCAUAUGUCUUGAUUUGUGUUUCUAGUUUGUUCAGUGACUGUUCCGGCACCAUAUGUUCUCGACAUGACCUGCAUAGACACGACCCGUUAGAAUUAACUGCAAGCGAACUCUGCUUCAAUACACGAUUCAAUAUUGUACACGGUUCACUUACUAAUUAAAUACAUGAAAGAGACCAGAAUUUAAAGCCCAUAGAAACAGUAAAUAGUCACCGACAAGAGGACACAAGGUUGUCGUUCCAUCACGCCAUUGUCCUCUCCUCCUCCUGCUCCAGUUUGACUCGCUAUAACCCAGAAGCCCCUCUGAGAAACAUGAUGAAGCGGUUUUCCCCACAUACAAUUUAAAAAAGAAUAACUGUGUUGAUGGACUCAGUCCCAGUGGAGAAAGGCUGUUAUAAAUCUUGACACACUGAA